rnacentral:rRNA from 1 species
UACGUAGGCAGCGAGCGUUGUUCGGAGUUACUGGGCGUAAAGCGUGCGUAGGCGGUGUCUUAAGUUUGUUGUACGAAAUCUCCCGGCUUAACCGGGAGGGUGCGGCGAAUACUGAGAUGCUGGAGUGCGGGAGAGGUAAGCGGAAUUCCUGGUGGAGCGGUGAAAUGCGCAGAUAUCAGGAGGAACACCCGUAGCGAAGGCGGCACUCUGGGCCGAUACUGACACUGAGGAGCGAAAGCGUGGGGAGCGAACAGG